rnacentral:lncRNA from 1 species
ACCAAAAUAUUUUGCUGAAAGAAAUAAUUGAGACCUAUUCUUUUCACCUUUUUUUUUUUUUUUUAAUUUAGAUUGACAGCCAUGUGAAUUUUAAGAGGAGACUGCUUUCUGGAUGUUAUUUGAACUAGCAGCUGUCCAAAACUCUCAGCUUACCUCUUAUCAAGAAAGAGCAAGUCAGGGGAAAGCAUGGAUAUGCGGCACUAGAACAUCCUGAAGGCUUAGAAAUUGAAGGUAAAAUCAAACGGAAUAGUUUACAAGAAUGCAUGAUUCUUCUUUCGGUCUUCCAGUUCUUUGGGAAUGGCUUAUCGUUUUAAGCCACCUGGGACAGCAGAUGGUGCCACCAUACUGUUAACUUAGUUAUUUUCCUACUCACUUCUACCUGGUGUUUUGUCUCACAAGAGCCUGGGACGCUUACGUGUAAAACACAAUUGGGCUUUUCAAGGGUUUUAGGGGAAGAUGGCCUGGGCUGCCUUUAACAUGUCUAUAACCAGUUGCAUGUGAAGAAGAUAUGCAAGUAUUUUCCAUUUGUAUGACCGAAGUACACAGUAAAAAUACAUGAGAUUAACAAAGACA